rnacentral:misc_RNA from 1 species
UAAUAAAUGAAAAUUUAAAAAAAUUAAAAUUUAAAGUAGGCCAAGUAUUGUGAGGACCAAUGGCAAUGGACAUAUUUGAGAGGAUAAAAAAAAAUUCUAUCACUUGCAUGUUUGGAUCAUGAAAUUCUGGAAAAACAGGAGUCUUCUGAAUCAGCAACUUAGUGAUUAUCUAAGAACGAAAGAAACCUAUCCGAUUAAAUUCAAUCUUCAGUUAGUCAAGUUUUCAAUCACACUCUCCUUUAAAACUAAGCCAACGUUGGUUUUGUCUUCUUGCUUCUGCAUUAGAUUUAGAUAUUGUUAUUGCUCUGUACAUCAAAUGGUACAGUUGCAGAGUACCAG